rnacentral:rRNA from 1 species
GAGGGUGAUCGGCCACAUUGGAACUGAGACACGGUCCAAACUCCUACGGGAGGCAGCAGUGGGGAAUAUUGCACAAUGGGCGAAAGCCUGAUGCAGCAACGCCGCGUGAGUGAUGAAGGCCUUCGGGUCGUAAAACUCUGUCCUCAAGGAAGAUAAUGACGGUACUUGAGGAGGAAGCCCCGGCUAACUACGUGCCAGCAGC